AUACGGAGGGUCCGAGCGUUAUCCGGCAUCAUUGGGUUUAAAGGGUCCGUAGGCGGGAAUCUAAGUCAGUGGUGAAAUCUUGCAGCUCAACUGUAAAAUUGCCAUUGAUACUGGAUUUCUCGAAUUAGUGUGAAGUGGUUAGAAUGUGUAGUGUAGCGGUGAAAUGCAUAGAUAUUACACAGAAUACCAAUUGCGAAGGCAGAUCACUAACACUAUAUUGACGCUAAGGGACGAAAGCGUGGGGAGCGAACAGGAUUAGAAACCCGAGUAGUCC
rnacentral:rRNA from 1 species